UACGGGGGGGGCAAGCGUUGUUCGGAAUUACUGGGCGUAAAGGGCUCGUAGGCGGCCAACUAAGUCGGAUGUGAAAUCCCCAGGCUUAACCUGGGAACUGCAUCCGAUACUGGAUGGCUUGAAUCCGGGAGAGGGAUGCAGAAUUCCAGGUGUAGCGGUGAAAUGCGUAGAUAUCUGGAGGAACACCGGUGGCGAAGGCGGCGUCCUGGACCAAUACUGACACUGAGGAGCGAAAGCCAGGGGAGCAAACGGG
rnacentral:rRNA from 1 species